rnacentral:pre_miRNA from 1 species
CGGGGGAGGCCGGAUCCUGGGCUGUGUCCCGGCGCCCUGUGCUCCGGGGCCUGCGCUGUUGGAUUCGCGCUCCCGCCCCACAGCCCCCU